CGAACUGGCAUUGCAUUAUAUUUUGAGCAUCGAACGUACAGUCACCAGGGCUUAGGCGCGCACAUCUCGCCUCUCCAAAGGUAACGAACUCUUCGAUUGGAGGCACAUACUGCACCGUAGUAACAAUGGCGAAGAACUCCUCGACCUCCGCUCAGCUGCUUCUCAUCGUCCUCAUGUUACUGGUUUUUGUCGGCGGCAUCCUCGCACGAGGUGGACCAAGCACCUGCUCCCCUCAAGAGCAAUCCGACUGCCCUUCAAUCCCUGGUAAAGGGCAGUAAUCGUAAGCAAGCAGUGGAUCCAUGGACGAUAGGGUGGAAUCCGAGAGCCGUUUCUAUAUAUGCAGCGGGAUUUGGAGGACUCUUCUGUUGGCCUCGCAAGUUUACAACAUGCUGUCUGUUCUUCAGGUCCAUGCUUGUGUGUCGUGCUGAUGUUGGUGUACUGGCCAGCUUUACCACUACAAUUAAUAUGAUGCAAUGGACAGUAUAAUUAAUAUUGCCAAUACUACAAUAAAAAAGUAUGGAGAAGUUCAUGAGUACA